rnacentral:rRNA from 1 species
GAUGAACGCUAGCUACAGGCUUAACACAUGCAAGUCGAGGGGCAACAUGGGAGUAGCUUGCUACUUCUGAUGACGACCGGCGGAUGGGUGAGUAACGCGUAUGCAACUUGCCUCUUAGUGGGGAAUAACCCGGAGAAAUCCGGACUAAUACCGCAUACACUUAGUUAUCCGCAUGGAUGAUUAAGGAAAGAUUUAUUGCUAAGAGAUAGGCAUGCGUUCCAUUAGUUAGUUGGUGAGGUAACGGCUCACCAAGGCAUCGAUGGAUAGGGGAGCUGAGAGGCUUAUCCCCCACAUUGGGACUGAGACACGGCCCAA